GACGAACGCUGGCGGCGUGCUUAACACAUGCCAGUCGAACGGAAAGGCCCUGCUUGCAGGGUACUCGAGUGGCGAACGGGUGAGUAACACGUGGGUGAUCUUCCCUGCACUUCGGGAUAAGCCUGGGAAACUGGGUCUAAUACCGGAUAGUAGCCAUUUUUAGUGUGAUGGUUGGAAAGUUUUUUCGGUGUAGGAUGAGCUCGCGGCCUAUCAGCUUGUUGGUGGGGUAAUGGCCUACCAAGGCGGCGACGGGUAGCCGCCCUGAGAGGGUGGACGGCCACAUUGGGACUGAGAUACGGCCCAGACUCCUACGGGAGGCAGCAGUGGGGAAUAUUGCACAAUGGGCGCAAGCCUGAUGCAGCGACGCCGCGUGGGGGAUGACGGCCUUCGGGUUGUAAACUCCUUUCGCUAGGGACGAAGCUUUUGUGACGGUACCUAGAUAAGAAGCACCGGCUAACUACGUG
rnacentral:rRNA from 1 species